CGAGAGUUCCUUGUACUGUAAAGAUCGUGCGGGUGGACUGGGCACGGGGGCAGGAGGUAGGAAAGGCCAGGUUCUUGUUAAGGGAGGCGGCUGCUGUGUUGUCUCAGGUGUAAGACGGUUUUACGCCUUCUACCGCCCCCAGCGCAUUUCUGGCACUUACAUACACCAGGGGAAAAGCAGGAUCUGCUUUCAGAGGGAAGAUGGGAUAAACACAGAUGGUUUCUACUCUGCUCCACGCAUCGACCGAAUAAUUAACUCCAUCCUGAUUGUGGAAGCUUUUAUUAUUUUUGGUGAUGUUCAAGCCAGAAAGAACUCAGCGUGGCUUCUAGUUUCAGAAUGAGUUUGUGGCACCAGCAAUUGGGCUGCGGGAGGAAACCACUUCUAAAUUGAGGAAAUGGGAUCCGAAGAAAGUGAAAGACCAUCUGAAAGGCCACAAUUUUUAGUGUCACUUUUUAGAGCUCUGUAUCAUAAUCAGUGGAACUGGAGUCAUGUUCUCUGGAGGGACUGUUAUUGAUGGGACACCAGGGGAAAUGGGAAUGUGGGAUACCAGGGAGUUAGGCUGAAAGCAACUCAGCCAUGCGGACAGAGUAGUCCACAUGGUUUAAUAAAGUUUUGCUUGUUCAACUUAA